AAUGGGUCAGCGACUUAUAUUCUGUAGCAAGGUUAACCGAAUAGGGGAGCCGAAGGGAAACCGAGUCUUAACUGGGCGUUAAGUUGCAGGGUAUAGACCCGAAACCCGGUGAUCUAGCCAUGGGCAGGUUGAAGGUUGGGUAACACUAACUGGAGGACCGAACCGACUAAUGUUGAAAAAUUAGCGGAUGACUUGUGGCUGGGGGUGAAAGGCCAAUCAAACCGGGAGAUAGCUGGUUCUCCCCGAAAGCUAUUUAGGUAGCGCCUCGUGAACUCAUCUCCGGGGGUAGAGCACUGUUUCGGCAAGGGGGUCAUCCCGACUUACCAACCCGAUGCAAACUGCGAAUACCGGAGAAUGUUAUCACGGGAGACACACGGCGGGUGCUAACGUCCGUCGUGAAGAGGGAAACAACCCAGACCGCCAGCUAAGGUCCCAAAGUCAUGGUUAAGUGGGAAACGAUGUGGGAAGGCCCAGACAGCCAGGAUGUUGGCUUAGAAGCAGCCAUCAUUUAAAGAAAGCGUAAUAGCUCACUGGUCGAGUCGGCCUGCGCGGAAGAUGUAACGGGGCUAAACCAUGCACCGAAGCUGCGGCAGCGACACUAUGUGUUGUUGGGUAGGGGAGCGUUCUGUAAGCCUGUGAAGGUGUACUGUGAGGUAUGCUGGAGGUAUCAGAAGUGCGAAUGCUGACAUAAGUAACGAUAAAGCGGGUGAAAAGCCCGCUCGCCGGAAGACCAAGGGUUCCUGUCCAACGUUAAUCGGGGCAGGGUGAGUCGACCCCUAAGGCGAGGCCGAAAGGCGUAGUCGAUGGGAAACAGGUUAAUAUUCCUGUACUUGGUGUUACUGCGAAGGGGGGACGGAGAAGGCUAUGUUGGCCGGGCGACGGUUGUCCCGGUUUAAGCGUGUAGGCUGGUUUUCCAGGCAAAUCCGGAAAAUCAAGGCUGAGGCGUGAUGACGAGGCACUACGGUGCUGAAGCAACAAAUGCCCUGCUUCCAGGAAAAGCCUCUAAGCAUCAGGUAACAUCAAAUCGUACCCCAAACCGACACAGGUGGUCAGGUAGAGAAUACCAAGGCGCUUGAGAGAACUCGGGUGAAGGAACUAGGCAAAAUGGUGCCGUAACUUCGGGAGAAGGCACGCUGAUAUGUAGGUGAAGUCCCUCGCGGAUGGAGCUGAAAUCAGUCGAAGAUACCAGCUGGCUGCAACUGUUUAUUAAAAACACAGCACUGUGCAAACACGAAAGUGGACGUAUACGGUGUGACGCCUGCCCGGUGCCGGAAGGUUAAUUGAUGGGGUCAGCGCAAGCGAAGCUCUUGAUCGAAGCCCCGGUAAACGGCGGCCGUAACUAUAACGGUCCUAAGGUAGCGAAAUUCCUUGUCGGGUAAGUUCCGACCUGCACGAAUGGCGUAAUGAUGGCCAGGCUGUCUCCACCCGAGACUCAGUGAAAUUGAACUCGCUGUGAAGAUGCAGUGUACCCGCGGCAAGACGGAAAGACCCCGUGAACCUUUACUAUAGCUUGACACUGAACAUUGAGCCUUGAUGUGUAGGAUAGGUGGGAGGCUUGGAAGUGUGGACGCCAGUCUGCAUGGAGCCGACCUUGAAAUACCACCCUUUAAUGUUUGAUGUUCUAACGUUGACCCGUAAUCCGGGUUGCGGACAGUGUCUGGUGGGUAGUUUGACUGGGGCGGUCUCCUCCUAAAGAGUAACGGAGGAGCACGAAGGUUGGCUAAUCCUGGUCGGACAUCAGGAGGUUAGUGCAAUGGCAUAAGCCAGCUUGACUGCGAGCGUGACGGCGCGAGCAGGUGCGAAAGCAGGUCAUAGUGAUCCGGUGGUUCUGAAUGGAAGGGCCAUCGCUCAACGGAUAAAAGGUACUCCGGGGAUAACAGGCUGAUACCGCCCAAGAGUUCAUAUCGACGGCGGUGUUUGGCACCUCGAUGUCGGCUCAUCACAUCCUGGGGCUGAAGUAGGUCCCAAGGGUAUGGCUGUUCGCCAUUUAAAGUGGUACGCGAGCUGGGUUUAGAACGUCGUGAGACAGUUCGGUCCCUAUCUGCCGUGGGCGCUGGAGAACUGAGGGGGGCUGCUCCUAGUACGAGAGGACCGGAGUGGACGCAUCACUGGUGUUCGGGUUGUCAUGCCAAUGGCACUGCCCGGUAGCUAAAUGCGGAAGAGAUAAGUGCUGAAAGCAUCUAAGCACGAAACUUGCCCCGAGAUGAGUUCUCCCUGACUCCUUGAGAGUCCUGAAGGAACGUUGAAGACGACGACGUUGAUAGGCCGGGUGUGUAAGCGCAGCGAUGCGUUGAGCUAACCGGUACUAAUGAACCGUGAGGCUUAACCUUACAAC
rnacentral:rRNA from 1 species